GAUAAACGCUGGCGGCGCACAUAAGACAUGCAAGUCGAACGGCAGCAUGAGAGAGCUUGCUCUCUUGAUGGCGAGUGGCGGACGGGUGAGUAAGGCAUCGGGACCUGCCCAUGGCGUGGGGGAUAACCCGGGGAAACCCGGACUAAUACCGCAUGUGCCCUACGGGGGAAAGCGGGGGACUCUACGGAGCCUCGCGCGCUUGGAUGGACCGAUGCACGAUUAGCUGGUUGGUGGGGUAACGGCCUACCAAGGCGACGAUCGUUAGCUGGUCUGAGAGGAUGAUCAGCCACACCGGGACUGAGACACGGCCCGGACUCCUACGGGAGGCAGCAGUGGGGAAUAUUGGACAAUGGGCGAAAGCCUGAUCCAGCAAUGCCGCGUGUGUGAAGAAGGCCUCGGUUGUAAGCGACUUUAUCUAGAGCGAAUCGCAUGGUUAAUACCGUGUAGGUCUGACGGUACC
rnacentral:rRNA from 1 species